GAAGGUCCAGGCUGGUUUUGGGGCUCCCUCAUGAGAUCCUGGGUGGAUUUUGGUGGGUCUGGGGGAGGUUUGGGCAGGCCUGGCAGGAGCUGGGCUGGAAUGUCCACCUGGCCCUACCCGUGAGCAGCUCUAUCCAGGUCUGAACGGUCUCCGCUGACUCCGUGGCCUUGAUGUGCCUGAGGGUCUCAUCCAGCAGCACAUCCCCGGUGGGAGCAUCCGACUUCAGCAGCACCUGGCAGGGCAAAGGGGAUAGAAUGUUAAAAUAGAAUUNNNNNNNNNNUUUCCCCACUCCUGCCUCUCCAAAGGUUCCCAGAUUUCCAUGUUUCCCUGCUCCUGCCUCGCCAAAGCUUCCCAGAUUUUCAUAUUUCGUAUUUCGUUGUCUCUCCAAAGCUUCCCAGAUUUUCAUAUUUUCCUGUUCCUGUCUCUCCAAACCCUCCCAGAUGUUCAUGUUUCCUAUUUCCCUGUCCAAAACCUCCCAGAUUUUCCUGCUCUUGUCUCUCCAAACCCUCCCAGAUUUCCACAUUUCCCUGUUCCUCUCUCUCCAAAGGUUCCCAGAUUUUCAUAUUUCAUAUUUCCUUGUCUCUCCAAAACCUCCCAGAUUUUCAUGUUUCAUAUUUCCCUCUCUCCAUAUUUCCUUUCU
rnacentral:lncRNA from 1 species